rnacentral:rRNA from 1 species
AUUGAACGCUGGCGGCAUGCCUUACACAUGCAAGUCGAACGGUAACAGGUCUUCGGAUGCUGACGAGUGGCGAACGGGUGAGUAAUACAUCGGAACGUGCCUAGUAGCGGGGGAUAACUACUCGAAAGAGUGGCUAGUACCGCAUGAGAUCUACGGAUGAAAGCAGGGGAUCGCAAGACCUUGUGCUACUAGAGCGGCCGAUGGCAGAUUAGGUGGUUGGUGGGAUAAAAGCUUACCAAGCCGACGAUCUGUAGCUGGUCUGAGAGGACGAUCGGCCAAACUGGGACUGAGACACGGCCCAGACCCCUACGGAAGGCAGCAGUGGGGAAUUUUGGACAAUGGGCGAAAGCCUGAUCCAGCAAUGCCGCGUGCAGGAUGAAGGCCUUCGGGUUGUAAACUGCUUUUGUACGGAACGAAAAGCCCCGGGUUAAUACCCUGGGGUCAUGACGGUACCGUAAGAAUAAGCACCGGCUAACUACGUGCCAGCCGCCGCCGUAA